UUCGGAUAUCCGAAAAUUGGCAUAAAUUGUUUUUGGGCGAUUGAAGGAUUGGUUUAGCUGAUAUUUUUAUUUUCUGAACUGAUGGUCUGCCAUUACUCGGUUUUGUCAUAUCUGUUGAUUGUGUUAGAAAGGACAGAAGCAGCGGGAAAAACAAUUCAUAGUAGCAACGGGCCGUGAUUGGACUGGGUUUGAAUUGAACAGGUUGGCCCAUUUAUUUCCUGGCCUAAAUUACAUGCCUCAAUCGACAUACAGUCCUGACCUGCGCUGUAGCCAUGCUUCGAUAAAAAAAUGAUGAUUCUGGUAGACCAUGUGACGGUCCAUGACCGACUAACAGUCCAAAAGGCUAGUUCCUUGCCUGGCCCAUGGUGGUCUGGCCCAGCCCAUCCCCAGCUUUAAAAUGAUCGCUUGAGAAGCCUGUUAUAGUUGCCGUCCUUGGCGAUUCUCCAUUCCUCGGUGAUCUCAUCGACGGACCAUCCCUCGUUACUUUUAUGCAAGAUGGUUAUGCUUGUUAGAGCUCGGCAAAUGUAUGCGAUAUCCUGGCCAUCUGUUUGAUGGAACUCAUGAUGAACAUGCAGUGGCUCAAAAAUCAGGAUGGUCAACUAAUUAGGUAGGCGACUCAUGCAUUUUGGAUGUGCACAGCUGGUUAUUCAUUUCUAACCGUCCGCUUUACAUGGAUGGUGUGGCCUAUCUGUUGGGCUUGGACCCUACAGCCCAUGCUAUUUGCCACGUGGGUGCUGUGAUUGGUCUUUGCGGAUAAGUAUCUACAAGUACAGCAUACUAACUUUCUUUAGAGAAAGCCAGGGAAGAAUUGCAGACGUGGAUGCAGGCAUUGUCAGUUGCCAUAACAGGGUGGGGUCCCUAGCGGAUGCUCUGAUGGGUAUGGGCUGCUGCAUACACUAUCUUACUUGCGAAGGUAACAAUGGGAAAGUUUUACAUGGUCUUCGUGGGAAGAGCUCCAAGGAUAUAUGACAAUUGGGAUGAUUACGACACACAUGUAUAUCAAUUUAGUAGUUGUCGAUACCAAUCGUUCAAGUCAUACGAUGAGGCAGAGAAGGAAUGGAACAAGUAACAAGGCCACCCUUCAUCAUGGAUCAGGAAGGAGGACGAAUGAGGACUACACAACACUUCAAAUGCAUUC